UACGUAGGGUGCAAGCGUUAUCCGGAAUUAUUGGGCGUAAAGAGCUCGUAGGCGGUUUGUCGCGUCUGCUGUGAAAACUGAGGCUCAACUCCCAGCCUGCAGUGGGUACGGGCAGACUAGAGUGCGGGUAGGGGAGAUUGGAAUUCCUGGUGUAGCGGUGGAAUGCGCAGAUAUCAGGAGGAACACCAAUGGGCGAAGGCAGGCUACUGGACAGAAGGUGACGCUGAGGCGCGAAAGUGUGGGAGCGAACCGG
rnacentral:rRNA from 1 species